CAGUCGCCGCGGUAAUACGAAGGGUGCAAGCGUUAAUCGGAAUUACUGGGCGUAAAGCGUGUGUAGGUGGUUGUUUAAGUCUGUCGUGAAAGCCCUGGGUUCAACCUGGGAAUUGCGAUGGAUACUGGGCGACUAGAGUGCGGUAGAGGAUAGUGGAGUUUCCGGUGUAGCAGUGAAAUGCGUAGAGAUCGGAAGGAACAUCUGUGGCGAAGGCGACUAUCUGGGCCAACACUGACACUGAGACACGAAAGCGUGGGGAGCAAACAGGAUUAGAUACCCCUGUAGUCCCUGUCUUUAUACA
rnacentral:rRNA from 1 species